AUUGAACGCUGGCGGCAUGCCUUACUCAUGCAAGUCGAACGGUAACGGGCCUUCGGGUGCCGACGAGUGGCGAACGGGUGAGUAAUACAUCGGAACGUGCCCGAUCGUGGGGGAUAACGAGGCGAAAGCUUUGCUAAUACCGCAUACGAUCUACGGAUGAAAGCAGGGGACCGCAAGGCCUUGCGCGGACGGAGCGGCCGCUGGCAGAUUAGGUAGUUGGUGGGAUAAAAGCUUACCAAGCCGACGAUCUGUAGCUGGUCUGAGAGGAUGAUCAGCCACACUGGGACGGAGACACGGCCCAGACUCCGACGGGAGGCAGCAGUGGGGAAUUUUGGGAAAUGGGCGCAAGCCUGACCCAGCCAUGCCGGGGGCAGGAUGAAGGCCUUCGGGUUGGAAACUGCUUUUGUAGGGAAAGAAAAGCCUUUUUUUAAAACGGGAGGGUUAUGACGGUACCUAAAGAAAAAGCACCGGCUAACUACGU
rnacentral:rRNA from 1 species